UGGGGAAUAUUGCACAAUGGGCGCAAGCCUGAUGCAGCAACGCCGCGUGAGGGAUGACGGCCUUCGGGUUGUAAACCUCUUUUAGUAGGGAAGAAGCGAAAGUGACGGUACCUGCAGAAAAAGCACCGGCUAACUACGUGCCAGCAGCCGCGGUAAUACGUAGGGUGCGAGCGUUGUCCGGAAUUAUUGGGCGUAAAGAGCUCGUAGGCGGUCUGUCGCGUCUGCUGUGAAAACCCGAGGCUCAACCUCGGGCCUGCAGUGGGUACGGGCAGACUAGAGUGCGGUAGGGGAGAAUGGAAUUCCUGGUGUAGCGGUGGAAUGCGCAGAUAUCAGGAGGAACACCGAUGGCGAAGGCAGUUCUCUGGGCCGUAACUGACGCUGAGGAGCGAAAGCGUGGGGAGCGAACAGGAUUAGAUACCCUGGUAGUCCACGCCGUAAACGUUGGGCGCUAGAUGUGGGGACCAUUCCACGGUUUCCGUGUCGCAGCUAACGCAUUAAGCGCCCCGCCUGGGGAGUACGGCCGCAAGGCUAAAACUCAAAGGAAUUGACGGGGUCAUAGCUG
rnacentral:rRNA from 1 species